CUUUCCCUCUGUCGGCAUGCUUUACACAUGCAAGUCGAACGGCAGCGGGGAGGAGCUUGCUUCUCUGCCGGCGAGUGGCGAACGGGUGAGUAAUACAUCGGAACGUGUCGAGAAGAGGGGGAUAACCACCCGAAAGGGUGGCUAAUACCGCAUAAAUUCUGAGGAAGAAAGCUGGGGACCUAGGAAUAGGCCUAGCGCUUUUUGAGCGGCCGAUGUCGGAUUAGCUAGUUGGUGAGGUAAAGGCUCACCAAGGCGAAGAUCUGUAGCGGGUCUGAGAGGAUGAUCCGCCACACUGGGACUGAGACACGGCCCAGACUCCUACGGGAGGCAGCAGUGGGGAAUUUUGGACAAUGGGGGCAACCCUGAUCCAGCCAUGCCGCGUGUAUGAAGAAGGCCUUAGGGUUGUAAAGUACUUUUGUUAGGGAAGAAAAGUCAGCUGUGAAUAAUGGCUGAUACUGACGGUACCUAAAGAAUAAGCACCGGCUAACUACGUG
rnacentral:rRNA from 1 species